rnacentral:pre_miRNA from 1 species
ACAAUGCUUCAGAUGUUUCAUGUUCAGACACUUGGCGCAGCACUUUAAGGGGGCUCUAGGUACUACAAACGUGGAGCACACUGAAGUCACAU